rnacentral:rRNA from 1 species
UACGUAGGGGGCAAGCGUUAUCCGGAUUUACUGGGUGUAAAGGGAGCGUAGACGGCAGAGCAAGUCUGAAGUGAAAGCCCGCGGCCCAACUGCGGGACUGCUUUGGAAACUGCCCGGCUGGAGUGCUGGAGAGGUAAGCGGAAUUCCUAGUGUAGCGGUGAAAUGCGUAGAUAUUAGGAGGAACACCAGUGGCGAAGGCGGCUUACUGGACAGUAACUGACGUUGAGGCUCGAAAGCGUGGGGAGCAAACAGG